rnacentral:rRNA from 1 species
CAGCUAGUUGGUAGGGUAAUGGCCUACCAAGGCGAAGAUCGGUAUCCGGCCUGAGAGGGCGCACGGACACACUGGAACUGAAACACGGUCCAGACUCCUACGGGAGGCAGCAGUGGGGAAUUUUGCGCAAUGGGGGAAACCCUGACGCAGCAACGCCGCGUGGAGGAUGAAGCCCCUUGGGGUGUAAACUCCUUUCGACCGGGAAAAUAAUGAUGGUACCGGUGGAAGAAGCACCGGCUAACUCUGUGCCAGCAGCCGCGGUAAUACAGAGGGUGCGAGCGUUGUUCGGAAUUAUUGGGCGUAAAGGGCGCGUAGGCGGUACGGCAAGUCACCUGUGAAACCUCUGGGCUUAACUCAGAGCCUGCAGGCGAAACUGCCGUGCUGGAGGGUGGGAGAGGUGCGUGCAAUUCCCGGUGUAGCGGUGAAAUGC